AGAUCUCUUGUGCUGUAUUUUAAGAACCCUUUCCACACACCAUCAUGGGUUGGUUUACAUUAUUGCAAAACGCAAUGUUGCAUUUCUAUAAGUUUCAUGCUAGCACAUGCUGAAUUAUCAUUUUGACCCAUUAGUGCAAAAAGGUACCAUGCCGCUUUUUAAUUAAAUGUCACAUGGUACCGUUUUGCACCAAUGGGGCUAUUUAUUCAUUCAGGUUUCAUGAUUGAAAAUAUUCUCAACAUUUCUUGGAUAUUAAUGUUGAUCAAAACCUGGGUUACACAGCUACGCUAAAUUAAUUAUUAUAAAUUACCAAGAAACAUGUUGUCAGUGCAGGAAAAAAAAUCAUCAUAUAUUAAAAUCAAAAACAAAAAUUAAAUGCUAUU